rnacentral:rRNA from 1 species
GUCUAUGGCCAUACCACCCUGAACACACCCAAUCUCAUCUGAUGUCAGAAGCUAAGCAGGGUCAGGCCUGGUUAGUACUUGGAUGGCAGAAAUAGGUU